UCCGUAAUUAAUCAUAAGGUGAUGCAGC
rnacentral:sRNA from 1 species